GAUGAAGAACGCAGCGAAAUGCGAUACGUAAUGUGAAUUGCAGAUUUCAGUGAAUCAUCGAAUCUUUGAACGCACAUUGCGCCCGCUAGUAUUCUGACGGGCAUGCCUGUUCGAGCGUCAUUUCAACCAUCAAGCCCUAGGCUUGCGUUGGAGCCCUGCGGCUGCCGCAGGCUCCCAAAUCCAGUGGCGGGCUCGUCGUCGUACCGAGUGCAGUAAACAUCCUCGCUCAGGGAACGUGACGGGUUCUUGCCGUGAAACCCCCCACAUAUCAAGGUUGACCUCGGAUCAGGUAGGAAUACCCGCUGAACUUAAGCAUAUCAAUAAGCGGAGGA
rnacentral:misc_RNA from 1 species